UACGGAGGGUGCGAGCGUUGUUCGGAAUCACUGGGCGUAAAGCGCGUGUAGGCGGCCCAUUAAGUCUGAUGUGAAAGCCCGGGGCUCACCCCCGGAAGUGCAUUGGAAACUGAUGGACUCGAGUCCCGGAGAGGAGAGUGGAAUUCCUGGUGUAGCGGUGAAAUGCGUAGAUAUCAGGAGGAACACCGGCGGCGAAGGCGGCUCUCUGGACGGUGACUGACGCUGAGACGCGAAAGCGUGGGGAGCAAACAGG
rnacentral:rRNA from 1 species